rnacentral:rRNA from 1 species
UGGGGGGAUAUUGCACAAUGGGGGGAAACCCUGAUGCAGCAACGCCGCGUGAAGGAAGAAGGUCUUCGGAUUGUAAACUUCUGUUUUAGUGAAGAAACAAAUGACGGUAGCUAAAGAGGAAGCCACGGCUAACUACGUGCCAGCAGCCACGGUAAUACGUAGGUGGCAAGCGUUGUCCGGAUUUACUGGGUGUAAAGGGUGCGCAGGCGGGACUGCAAGUUGGAUGUGAAAAUCCGAGGCUCAACCUCGGAACUGCAUCCAAAACUGUGGUUCUUGAGUGGAGCAGAGGUAAGCGGAAUUCCGAGUGUAGCGGUGAAAUGCGUAGAUAUUCGGAGGAACACCAGUGGCGAAGGCGGCUUACUGGGCUCUAACUGACGCUGAGGCACGAAAGUGUGGGUAGCAAACAGGAUUAGAUACCCUGGUAGU